UACGGAGGGUGCGAGCGUUAUCCGGAAUUACUGGGUUUAAAGGGUGCGUAGGCGGCUUGUUAAGUCAGGAGUGAAAGUUUGCGGCUCAACCGUAAAAUUGCUUUUGAUACUGGCAGGCUAGAAUUAGGAUGAGGUUAGCGGAAUGUGGCAUGUAGCGGUGAAAUGCAUAGAUAUGCCAUAGAACACCAAUUGCGAGGGCAGCUGGCUAGACCUAUAUUGACGCUGAGGCACGAAAGCGUGGGGAGCGAACAGG
rnacentral:rRNA from 1 species